rnacentral:rRNA from 1 species
GACGAACCGUGCAAACGUUGUUCGGAAUCACUGGGCUUAAAGGGCGCGUAGGCGGGUUCGUAAGUCUGUGGUGAAAGCCCCCAGCUUAACUGGGGAAGGGCCAUGGAUACUGCGAGUCUUGAGGAGGGUAGGGGCAUCUGGAACACUGGGUGGAGCGGUGAAAUGCGUUGAUAUCCAGUGGAACUCCGGUGGCGAAGGCGAGGUGCUGGACCCUUUCUGACGCUGAUGCGCGAAAGCCAGGGGAGCAAACGGG